rnacentral:rRNA from 1 species
AGUGAACGCUGGCGGCAGGCCUAACACAUGCAAGUCGAACGGCAGCACAGUAAGAGCUUGCUCUUAUGGGUGGCGAGUGGCGGACGGGUGAGGAAUACAUCGGAAUCUACUCUUUCGUGGGGGAUAACGUAGGGAAACUUACGCUAAUACCGCAUACGACCUACGGGUGAAAGCGGAGGACCUUCGGGCUUCGCGCGAUUGAAUGAGCCGAUGUCGGAUUAGCUAGUUGGCGGGGUAAAGGCCCACCAAGGCGACGAUCUGUAGCUGGUCUGAGAGGAUGAUCAGCCACACUGGAACUGAGACACGGUCCAGACUCCUACGGGAGGCAGCAGUGGGGAAUAUUGGACAAUGGGCGCAAGCCUGAUCCAGCCAUGCCGCGUGGGUGAAGAAGGCCUUCGGGUUGUAAAGCCCUUUUGUUGGGAAAGAAAAGCAGUCGGUUAAUACCCGAUUGUUCUGACGGUACCCAAAGAAUAAGCACCGGCUAACUUCGUGCCAGCCGCCGCAGUAACAC